ACGACUCUCGGCAACGGAUAUCUCGGCUCUCGCAUCGAUGAAGAACGUAGCGAAAUGCGAUACUUGGUGUGAAUUGCAGAAUCCCGUGAACCAUCGAGUCUUUGAACGCAAGUUGCGCCCCAAGCCUUCUGGCCGAGGGCACGUCUGCCUGGGUGUCACUAA
rnacentral:rRNA from 1 species